rnacentral:rRNA from 1 species
UUAGAAGCCGGUGACUAAAGUCGUAAGACGCUUUGGGAGGGGCCUGCGUCCCAUCAGCUAGUUGGUAGGGUAACGGCCUACCAAGGCGACGACGGGUAGGGGACCUGAGAGGGUGGCCCCCCACAAUGGAACUGAAACACGGUCCAUACACCUACGGGUGGCAGCAGUAGGGAAUAUUGCACAAUGGGCGAAAGCCUGAUGCAGCAACGCCGCGUGCGCGAAGAAGGCCUUCGGGUCGUAAAGCGCUUUUCUGGGAGAUGAGAAAGGACAGUAUCCCAGGAAUAAGUCUCGGCUAACUACGUGCCAGCAGCCGCGGUAACACGUAGGAGGCAAGCGUUAUCCGGAUUCACUGGGCGUAAAGCGCGUGCAGGCGGUUCGGUAAGUUGGGCGUGAAAUCUCCUGGCUUAACUGGGAGAGGCCGUCCAAUACUACCGGGCUAGAGAGCAGUAGAGGAAGAUGGAAUUCCCGGUGUAGUGGUGAAAUGCGUAGAUAUCGGGAGGAACACCAGUGGCGAAAGCGAUCUUCUGGACUGUUUCUGACGCUCAGACGCGAAAGCUAGGGUAGUAAACGGGAUUAGAGACCCCGGUAAUCCUAGCCGUAAACGAUGUAAACUUGGCGUCGGUGGCUUAAACUCCGUCGGUGCCGCAGCAAACGCGAUAAGUUUACCGCCUGGGGACUACGAUCGCAAGAUUAAAACUCAAAGGAAUUGACGGGGGCCCGCACAAGCAGCGGAGCGUGUGGUUUAAUUCGAUGCUACACGAAGAACCUUACCCGGGUUUGACAUGCAAGUGGUAGUGAUCCGAAAAGGUGAACGACCCGCAAGGGAGCUUGCACAGGGUGUUGCAUGGCUGUCGUCAGCUCGUGGCCGUGAGAUGUUCCGGUUAAGUCCGCUAACGAGCGCAACCC